rnacentral:rRNA from 1 species
CCCUUAGAUGUUCUGGGCCGCACGCGCGCUACACUGAACAGUUCAACAAGUCUUAACCUUGGCCGAUAGGUCUGGGUAAUCUUUGAACGCUGUUCGUGAUUGGGAUAGACCUUUGCAAUUAUGGGUCUUCAACGAGGAAUUCCUAGUAAACGCAAGUCAUCAGCUUGCAUUGAUUACGUCCCUGCCCUUUGUACACACCGCCCGUCGCACCUACCGACUGAAUGGUCCGGUGAAAUCUCGGGACGGCGGCUUGGUCGCUUGCGUCCGACUGCUGAAACUUGAUUAAACCAUAUCAUUUAGAGGAAGGUGAAGUCGUAACA